rnacentral:rRNA from 4 species
CACACGACUCUCGGCAACGGAUAUCUCGGCUCUCGCAUCGAUGAAGAACGUAGCGAAAUGCGAUACCUGGUGUGAAUUGCAGAAUCCCGCGAACCAUCGAGUCUUUGAACGCAAGUUGCGCCCGAGGCCUCUUGGUCGAGGGCACGCCUGCCUGGGCGUCACGC